AUGAGCCAAGAUUAGAAGUCAUCUUCCUAUUUAUAGGUAAAGGCUUCAGAUAGAUUAAACUGAAGAGUUUGAUCAUGGCUCAGAUUGAACGCUGGCGGCAGGCUUAACACAUGCAAGUCGAGCGGAAACGAUGGUAGCUUGCUACCAGGCGUCGAGCGGCGGACGGGUGAGUAACACUUAGGAAUCUACCUAGUAGUGGGGGAUAGCUCGGGGAAACUCGAAUUAAUACCGCAUACGACCUACGGGAGAAAGGGGGCAGUUUACUGCUCUCGCUAUUAGAUGAGCCUAAGUCGGAUUAGCUAGAUGGUGGGGUAAAGGCCUACCAUGGCGACGAUCUGUAGCUGGUCUGAGAGGAUGAUCAGCCACACCGGGACUGAGACACGGCCCGGACUCCUACGGGAGGCAGCAGUGGGGAAUAUUGGACAAUGGGGGCAACCCUGAUCCAGCCAUGCCGCGUGUGUGAAGAAGGCCUUUUGGUUGUAAAGCACUUUAAGCAGUGAAGAAGACCAUAUGGUUAAUACCCAUAUGCGAUGACAUUAGCUGCAGAAUAAGCACCGGCUAACUCUGUGCCAGCAGCCGCGGUAAUACAGAGGGUGCAAGCGUUAAUCGGAAUUACUGGGCGUAAAGCGAGCGUAGGUGGCUUGAUAAGUCAGAUGUGAAAUCCCCGGGCUUAACCUGGGAACUGCAUCUGAUACUGUUAAGCUAGAGUAGGUGAGAGGGAAGUAGAAUUCCAGGUGUAGCGGUGAAAUGCGUAGAGAUCUGGAGGAAUACCGAUGGCGAAGGCAGCUUCCUGGCAUCAUACUGACACUGAGGCUCGAAAGCGUGGGUAGCAAACAGGAUUAGAUACCCUGGUAGUCCACGCCGUAAACGAUGUCUACUAGUCGUUGGGGAACUUGAUUCCUUAGUGACGCAGCUAACGCAAUAAGUAGACCGCCUGGGGAGUACGGCCGCAAGGUUAAAACUCAAAUGAAUUGACGGGGGCCCGCACAAGCGGUGGAGCAUGUGGUUUAAUUCGAUGCAACGCGAAGAACCUUACCUGGUCUUGACAUAUCUAGAAUCCUGCAGAGAUGCGGGAGUGCCUUCGGGAAUUAGAAUACAGGUGCUGCAUGGCUGUCGUCAGCUCGUGUCGUGAGAUGUUGGGUUAAGUCCCGCAACGAGCGCAACCCUUGUCCUUAGUUACCAGCGGGUUAAGCCGGGAACUCUAAGGAUACUGCCAGUGACAAACUGGAGGAAGGCGGGGACGACGUCAAGUCAUCAUGGCCCUUACGACCAGGGCUACACACGUGCUACAAUGGUAGGUACAGAGGGCAGCUACACAGCGAUGUGAUGCGAAUCUCAAAAAGCCUAUCGUAGUCCAGAUUGGAGUCUGCAACUCGACUCCAUGAAGUAGGAAUCGCUAGUAAUCGCGGAUCAGAAUGCCGCGGUGAAUACGUUCCCGGGCCUUGUACACACCGCCCGUCACACCAUGGGAGUUGAUUGCACCAGAAGUGGUUAGCCGAACCUUUUAGGACGGCGAUCACCACGGUGUGGUUGAUGACUGGGGUGAAGUCGUAACAAGGUAGCCGUAGGGGAACCUGCGGCUGGAUCACCUCCUUAU
rnacentral:rRNA from 1 species